CCUACGGGAGGCAGCAGUGGGGAAUAUUGCACAAUGGGCGCAAGCCUGAUGCAGCAACGCCGCGUGCGGGAUGACGGCCUUCGGGUUGUAAACCGCUUUCAGUUCCGACGAAGCGCAAGUGACGGUAGGAACAGAAGAAGGACCGGCCAACUACGUGCCAGCAGCCGCGGUGAUACGUAGGGUCCGAGCGUUGUCCGGAAUUAUUGGGCGUAAAGGGCUAGUAGGCGGUUUGUCACGUCGGAAGUGAAAACUCAGGGCUCAACCCUGAGCCUGCUUCCGAUACGGGCAAACUAGAGGAAUGCAGGGGAGAAUGGAAUUCCUGGUGGAGCGGUGGAAUGCGCAGAUAUCAGGAGGAACACCGGUGGCGAAGGCGGUUCUCUGGGCAUUUCCUGACGCUGAGAAGCGAAAGCGUGGGGAGCAAACAGGCUUAGAUACCCUGGUAGUCCACGCCGUAAACGGUGGGCACUAGGUGUGGGGAACAUUCCACGUUCUCCGUGCCGAAGCUAACGCAUUAAGCGCCCCGCCUGGGGAGUACGGCCGCAAGGCUAAAACUCAAAGGAAUUGACGGGGGCCCGCACAAGCGGCGGAGCAUGCGGAUUAAUUCGAUGCAACGCGAAGAACCUUACCUGGGUUUGACAUGUGCGCUAAAACCGUAGAGAUACGGUGUCCUUCGGGGGCGUUCACAGGUGGUGCAUGGCUGUCGUCAGCUCGUGUCGUGAGAUGUUGGGUUAAGUCCCGCAACGAGCGCAACCCUUGUUCGAUGUUGCCAGCGGGUUAUGCCGGGGACUCAUCGAAGACUGCCGGGGUCAACUCGGAGGAAGGUGGGGAUGACGUCAAGUCAUCAUGCCCCUUAUGUCCAGGGCUUCACGCAUGCUACAAUGGCCGGUACAAAGGGCUGCGAUACCGUAAGGUGGAGCGAAUCCCAAAGCCGGUCUCAGUUCGGAUCGGGGUCUGCAA
rnacentral:rRNA from 1 species